rnacentral:lncRNA from 1 species
GGAAAUUAGAGAGAGAAAAUAUUUUUCAGAACUUGAGAAAAAUAAAAAGAUUUUUGAAUCUUAAGAAUUCUGGGAGUUUUGAAAGUUAGAAAUUAAAGAAAAACACUGUUCUUCUUCACUGUUAACAAUUGGCAUCAACUGUUAUUGUUCAUUAAAGCUUCAAACUUCUUUUCUGGAGUGAUAAAAAUCAGAAAUUAUUUUUGCAACUCGAUACUUCUUUGAUUGGUCUGUCUCCUGGAUUUUCUGUUAUUCCCGCUAAUACUGGGCUACUCCGUGUUGUUGAGAUAUUGUUGUUGGGUAUUGUUACUGCUAUCCUACUGAUCACUCAUCUUCUUCUUUUGCUUAUAAUAUCAGGUACACAACUGGUACACCUUGUAAGUUGAUAACAUGAAGCAUGAAUACAAAUGAAGAGUUGAUGUUUUAAUUUUAUUUUGUUAUUGAAUAUAUUUAGGCCACUCUAUAUACUAUUGUUAUAUAAGUUUCUGCCAUGUUCGUAUGACGGGACAG